AGAGUUUGAUCCUGGCUCAGGACGAACGCUGGCGGCGUGCUUAACACAUGCAAGUCGAACGGUAAGGCCCUUCGGGGUACACGAGUGGCGAACGGGUGAGUAACACGUGGGUGAUCUGCCCUGUACUUCGGGAUAAGCCUGGGAAACUGGGUCUAAUACCGGAUAUGACCUUCUCCUGCAUGGGAGUUGGUGGAAAGCUUUUGCGGUACAGGAUGGGCCCGCGGCCUAUCAGCUUGUUGGUGGGGUAAUGGCCUACCAAGGCGACGACGGGUAGCCGGCCUGAGAGGGCGACCGGCCACACUGGGACUGAGACACGGCCCAGACUCCUACGGGAGGCAGCAGUGGGGAAUAUUGCACAAUGGGCGCAAGCCUGAUGCAGCGACGCCGCGUGAGGGAUGACGGCCUUCGGGUUGUAAACCUCUUUCAGUAGGGACGAAGCGCAAGUGACGGUACCUACAGAAGAAGCACCGGCCAACUACGUG
rnacentral:rRNA from 1 species